rnacentral:rRNA from 1 species
CAAAGAUGCAAUGGCAAGAGAGCAGAAAUUAAAACAAGGUCAAUCAAAAGACAUUUGAUUGAUAGAAUACAAGACAGUAUAAAACUUUGUGAAUAAAAUUGAGUGCGGGAUAGUGGCGACGGGUGAGUAACGCGUGAAUAAUCUGCCCCAUACAGGGGGAUAGCCUCGGGAAACCGGGAUUAAAACCGCAUAACACUUUAUCACCGCAUGGUGAUGAAGUCAAAUCGAUUAAGAGGUAUGGGAUGAGUUCGCGUCUGAUUAGCUAGUUGGCGGGGUAAAGGCCUACCAAGGCGACGAUCAGUAGCCGGCCUGAGAGGGUGACCGGCCACACUGGAACUGAGACACGGUCCAGACUCCUACGGGAGGCAGCAGUGGGGAAUAUUGCACAAUGGGGGAAACCCUGAUGCAGCGACGCCGCGUGAGUGAAGAAGGUCUUCGGAUCGUAAAACUCUGUCCUUGGUGACGAAGGAAGUGACGGUAACCAAGGAGGAAGCCCCGGCUAACUACGUG